rnacentral:rRNA from 1 species
GGACUACCCGGGUUUCUAAUCCCGUUUGCUCCCCUGGCUUUCGUGCCUCAGCGUCAGGAAAUGUCCAGAGACUCGCCUUCGCCACUGGUGUUCCACUUGAUAUCUACGCAUUUCACUGCUACACCAAGUAUUCCAGUCUCCCCUCCAUUCCUCUAGUCAAACAGUUUCCAAUGCAGUUCCGCAGUUAAGCUGCGGGAUUUCACACCGGACUUGUCAAACCGCCUACGCACCCUUUACGCCCAGUGAAUCCGAACAACGCUUGGGACCUCUGUAUUACCGCGGCUGCUGGCAC